CGGGGUGCAGCAGGCGCGAAACCUUAUCACUGUGCGAAAGCACGACUGGGUCAGUCCGAGUGAUUCCUGAUAAAGGAGUCUUUUACUUGUCCUAAAAGCACAGGUGAAUAAGGGGUGGGCAAGUCUGGUGUCAGCCGCCGCGGUAAUACCAGCACCUCGAGUGGUCAGGACGUUUAUUGGGCCUAAAGCAUCCGUAGCCGGCUUUGCAAGUCUUCGGUUAAAUCCACCUGCUCAACAGAUGGGCCGCUGGAGAUACUACAAGGCUAGGGAGUGGGAGAGGCAGACGGUAUUCAGUGGGUAGGGGUAAAAUCCUCUGAUCCAUUGAGGACCACCAGUGGCGAAGGCGGUCUGCCAGAACACGUUCGACGGUGAGGGAUGAAAGCUGGGGGAGCAAACCGGAUUAGAUACCCGGGUAGUCCCAGCUGUAAACGAUGCAAACUCGGUGAUGCAUUGGCUUAUGGCCAAUGCGGUGCCGCAGGGAAGCCGUUAAGUUUGCCGCCUGGGAAGUACGGACGCAAGUCUGAAACUUAAAGGAAUUGGCGGGGGAGCAC
rnacentral:rRNA from 1 species